UAUAGGUUUGGUCCCAGCCUUCCUGUUAACUUUCAAUAGACUUAUACAUGCAAGCAUCCACGCCCCGGUGAGUAACGCCCUUCGAAUCACACAGGACUAAAAGGAGCAGGUAUCAAGCACACACUCUUGUAGCUCACAACGCCUUGCUUAACCACACCCCCACGGGAGACAGCAGUAACAAAAAUUAAGCCAUAAACGAAAGUUUGACUAAGCCAUAUUGACCAGGGUUGGUAAAUCUCGUGCCAGCCACCGCGGUCAUACGAUUGACCCAAGCUAACAGGAGUACGGCGUAAAGCGUGUUAAAGCAUCAUACUAAAUAGAGUUAAAUUUUAAUUAAACUGUAAAAAGCCAUAAUUAUAACAAAAAUAAUUGACGAAAGUAACCCUACAAUAGCUGAUACACCAUAGCUAAGACCCAAACUGGGAUUAGAUACCCCACUAUGCUUAGCCCUAAACACAAAUAAUUAU
rnacentral:rRNA from 1 species